rfam:Cricetulus griseus cell line CHO-K1, whole genome shotgun sequence.
AGAGUCUUGGCUCAAUGGUUAAGAGCAUUGGUUGCUCUUCCAAAGGACCUGGGUUCAAAUCCCAAGAAUUAA